rnacentral:tRNA from 1 species
GGCCCCGUCGUCUAACGGCUAGGACACUGCCCUUUCAAGGCGGUAAAACGGGUUCGAUUCCCGUCGGGGUCACCA